rnacentral:rRNA from 1 species
GACGAACGCUGGUGGCGUGCUUAACACAUGCAAGUCGAACGGAAAGACCCUGCUUUUGUGGGGUGCUCGAGUGGCGAACGGGUGAGUAACACGUGAGUAACCUGCCCUUGACUUUGGGAUAACUUCAGGAAACUGGGGCUAAUACCGGAUAGGAGCUCCUGCUGCAUGGUGGGGGUUGGAAAGUUUCGGCGGUUGGGGAUGGACUCGCGGCUUAUCAGCUUGUUGGUGGGGUAGUGGCUUACCAAGGCUUUGACGGGUAGCCGGCCUGAGAGGGUGACCGGCCACAUUGGGACUGAGAUACGGCCCAGACUCCUACGGGAGGCAGCAGUGGGGAAUAUUGCACAAUGGGCGGAAGCCUGAUGCAGCAACGCCGCGUGCGGGAUGACGGCCUUCGGGUUGUAAACCGCUUUCGCCUGUGACGAAGCGUGAGUGACGGUAAUGGGUAAAGAAGCACCGGCUAACUACGU